GUUCCUACGGGACGCAGCAGUGGGGGAUAUUGCACAAUGGGGGAAACCCUGAUGCAGCGACGCCGCGUGUGGGAAGACGGUCUUCUGGAUUGUAAACCACUGUCCCCAGGGACGAAAAUGACGGUACCUGGGGAGGAAGCUCCGGCUAACUACGUGCCGGCAGCCGCGGUAAUACGUAGGGAGCAAGCGUCGUCCGGAAUUACUGGGUGUAAAGGGAGCGUAGGCGGGGAUGCAAGUUGGGUGUCAAAACUACCGGCUCAACCGAUAGUCGCCGCCAAAACUGCA
rnacentral:rRNA from 1 species